rnacentral:lncRNA from 1 species
UCUGUAUUUGCCGUGAGUGACUUUUACGUGGAAAACUGCUCCAAAGCAUGGUGUGGCGUCUUUUGUUCUCAAAAGUUCAGAAUGGUGCGAGUUGGUGGUGCCCCUUGAGCAAAGUGCCAGGGUAAGGUGAUCGUGCGCCUCCCUCCUGCAACCCGUCUCCGCCUGUCCGGGUUGCCCAACGGAGAGGCUGUUUACCGGACAAAUGUGUACAGUUUUCCCAUCUUGACGAUAAUACGAACAAAGGGCAUAGAAUUUGCAGAAACGAACCAUCCCUCGGGGAAAGACUUUGAAAAUGUACACUCAUCAAGCGCCAGGUCACCUGAGCAGCUGAAGGGAAAUGAAGGCUGGCAAGAAGCGGCAGACUCCGGUUGUUCCUAUCUCUUCCGCGACGGAGUGCCUGGGGCAUUCGCCCGGGGUGCGACUGCCGCCGGCAGUGUGAACAGCCAGUGUCCUUGACCUUUCCGACAUUCAUGAAGUGCGUGGGGUGAUGAAGCAGCUGCACAGUCCACGAUCGAGUGGCUGGGAUAACAGGAGACAACCGAUGCAGCUCUCCCAUGCGAUAGUCCCAGUUGCGGGGCGAAGGAGUUCUUUUUCGUGAUACACUCCUCUUGCAAACUGUCGUCCGAGUGUUCGAGCCGCUCGCUUUGCCCGGAUCUUGUGUUUCCCUCACUCGAACACGUCACAGAAAAAAGAGGCAGUUCUGGUGAAGACACACGGCGCAACGAAAAUGCGUCCCAGAUUUCCCCAUGCUCCACACAAAACCUGCCUAGACUAGCAGCUUCGCAAGCAGGCACCCGCGAGGGGCUGCAGG